rnacentral:rRNA from 1 species
AACGAACGCUGGCGGCAUGCCUAACACAUGCAAGUCGAACGAGACCUUCGGGUCUAGUGGCGCACGGGUGCGUAACGCGUGGGAACCUGCCCUUAGGUUCGGAAUAACUCCCCGAAAGGGGUGCUAAUACCGGAUAAUGUCUUCGGACCAAAGAUUUAUCGCCUUUGGAUGGGCCCGCGUUUGAUUAGCUAGUUGGUAGGGUAAAAGCCUACCAAGGCGACGAUCCAUAGCUGGUCUGAGAGGAUGAUCAGCCACACUGGGACUGAGACACGGCCCAGACUCCUACGGGAGGCAGCAGGGGGGAAUAUUGGACAAGGGGCGAAAGCCUGAUACAGCAAUGCCGCGGGAGUGAUGAAGGGCUUAGGGUUGUAAAGCUCUUUUACCCGGGAUGAUAAUGACAGUACCGGGAGAAUAAGCUCCGGCUAACUCCGUG